GAGUGGCAGACGGGUGAGUAACACGUGGGAACGUACCCUUUGGUUCGGGACAACUCUGGGAAACUGGAGCUAAUACCGGAUACGCCCUUUUGGGGAAAGGUUUACUGCCGAAGGAUCGGCCCGCGUCUGAUUAGCUAGUUGGUGGGGUAACGGCCUACCAAGGCGACGAUCAGUAGCUGGUCUGAGAGGAUGAUCAGCCACACUGGGACUGAGACACGGCCCAGACUCCUACGGGAGGCAGCAGUGGGGAAUAUUGGACAAUGGGCGCAAGCCUGAUCCAGCCAUGCCGCGUGAGUGGUGAAGGCCUUAGGGUUGUAAAGCUCUUUUAUCCGGGACGAUAAUGACGGUACCGGAGGAAUAAGCCCCGGCUAACUCCGUGCCAGCAGCCGCGGUAAUACGAAGGGGGCUAGCGUUGCUCGGAAUCACUGGGCGUAAAGGGCGCGUAGGCGGCGUUUUAAGUCGGGGGUGAAAGCCUGUGGCUCAACCACAGAAUGGCCUUCGAUACUGGGACGCUUGAGUCUGGUAG
rnacentral:rRNA from 1 species